rnacentral:rRNA from 1 species
AACGAACGCUGGCGGCAGGCUUAACACAUGCCAGUCGAGCGCAUCCUUCGGGGUGAGCGGCAGACGGGUGAGUAACGCGGGGGAAUCUACCUUUUGCUACGGAAUAGCUCCGUGAAACUGGGAUUAAUACCGGAUGUGCCCUGCGGGGGAAAGAUUUAUCGUCAAGAGAUGAGCCCGCGUUGGUUUAGCUAGUUGGUGGGGUAAAGGCCUACCAAGGCGACGAUCCAUAGCGGGUCUGAGAGGAUGAUCAGCCACAUUGGAACUGAGACACGGCCCAAACUCAUACGGGAGGCAGCAGUGGGGAAUAUUAGACAAUGCGCGCAAGCCUGAUACAGCCAUGCCGCGUGAGUGAUGAAGGCCUUAGGGUUGUAAAGCUCUUUCACCGGAGAAGAUAAUGACGGUAUCCGGAGAAGAAGCCCCGGCUAACUUCGUG